UUUAGGAAAAGAAGAAAAAUUAAAAAAAAAACAACAAACAAACAAAACAAAACAAAAGAAGGAAAAUUAAGAAAAUAAAAAAAAUCAUUCUAAUCAUUUUGUUUCAUCAGAACCACUAUUAACCCAUUUUUACACUCCAUCCUCAUUAACAUUUCUUCCCAUUUUGGUAAAAAAUUCAUCAUUGAUAGCCCAUGCAUACUUCUUGUCUUUGGAAGAAAAAAUCAUCAUUUGGCCCAACUUAACACUCCUAGUCAAGACAUCACUCGGCUCUCUCUGGGGGAAAAGGAGGAAAAAAAAACACACACAAAAAAGGCUCUACUGUUGGCUACAAAAAUCUCCUCUCUCGGCUCUCUCCCACAGGACAGAAGACAAGCCAUAACAAGAAAAAAAAAAAGAAAAACUCCUCUUUCCAUUCGGCUCCCUCUCUUUUCCUAAUAUACACACACAGAAUCAAGCACAAGAAAGCAAGCAAUCGGACGCGAGGAGAUUGGAAUUUCAUCAACAAUUUUAACUAAGGUCAUAAGAGGUGUUUAUGGUUGAGAUCGAGGAAAAAGUGCAAUUCAACUUGCAAAUUUGGAGAUUAGUCACGAAUAAAAAUGGAGCAAUAAUGCUACAUUGCAAAGUGGAGGAUCGGCUAUUUGCUCAAAAGGAGUACAUACUUUAGCAGCCAACUUGAAAAAAAAAAGAGAAAAAAAAAGAAAAAGGGGGAAUGAAAAGCGAAAAAAAAAGAGAAAGAAUAAAGGAAAAAAAAAAGUAAAGACAAAAGACAAAAGAAAAGAAAGGGGGAAUGAAAGAAAAAAAAAGAAGAGAAUAAUAAAAAAGGAGGAAAAAAUGGAAAAACGAAAAAAAAAGAGAAUAAAAAAAAGGGGAUUGAAAAAAAAAGAGAGUUUUUCCUUCGAUUUUGCAAAUUUUGCAAUUGAACUCUGGGAGCGUUUCAUUGGAGAUUACAUUUCUAAGUUAGGGCAACACCUUGUCCUCUUAUGCUGAAAUGGAAGUGGUAAUACAUGCCAAAACCGAGAUCCCGUCCUUGCACAUUUUGACAAAGGCUUAGGUAGAGGAAAUCAAAUGGAUUAAGGAGCACAAUGAGUUGCUAUCUCUGAUUGAUGAAAAAGAGGUUGAAUGUUUGUCAUGGACAAUGCUAUCAUCAAAGGAUGGUUCGUUAGUUAUGACAAGAAAGACAAAUCUUGCUUAUUUGAAGUGAGGGAUAAGGUUUUGAAGUAAAUUCUUCCGAUUCAAGAGGAGGUUAAAGAAAAGUUUGCUCCGACUUGGCAAGGGCCAUUUAUUGUUCAAAGAGUGCUAUCCGGAGGAACGUCCAUUCUUACAGAACUGGAUGGACAGGUCUUUCCUCUGCCAAUCAAUUCAGACAUGUGAAAUAAAUUCUUUAUCUGAUUAUAUGAUUUUUCUUUUUGAAAUACCAUCUAUGGCGGAUCAAAGGCGAGCCUUCUUCUUUUCUCUUUGAACAUCUUAUCCCUAGUUUUCCCCAUUGAACCUCCAGAAUAAUUCAACCUUUCAUUUGAUAGCCCUCCUAAAGAUUGCAAACUCCAUACUGGGGUAAAUUUUUAUCUCUUAUUUGUCAUGAAAAAAAAAGAAAAAAGAAGUCAAAAGCCAAACUGGGGCAAUUUUUUCGGUUUUAAUACCCUCAUAAUGGGGCAAAUAUUGAUAGAAUGCGGUCUUAGGAUUUUUGAAACCUCUUUGAAGAUUUUGCUUUGAAGUUUAACACUUUUUCUACACCCCACAUGCCCCCAUCAUAAAAAUCAUAAAGUCUCGACCUCCGCUUUAGUGGUAUUUCUAAUAAAAAUCACUUAAUCAAAUGGCAAUUGAUGUCAGUACACCUUCACCAUUUUUACAUGGGAAUGGUUGUCGCGCUGAUGCCAUCCUUUCUUUAAAUACAUUUCUGAGUUGAUAAAUGUCGUUAACAAGAUUUGUUCAUUAGGUGAAAACCUGAAAGGGUGUCUUCAAAAGAAUGAGAAAAAAAGAAAAAAAGAAAAAAAAAGAGAAUGAU